rnacentral:rRNA from 1 species
AUUGAACGCUGGCGGCGUGCCUAACACAUGCAAGUCGAGCGGUAACAGGUGUAGCAAUACAUGCUGACGAGCGGCGAACGGGUGAGUAAUGCUUUGGAAUCUUCCCAGUAGUGGGGAAUAACCAGUCGAAAGAUUGGCUAAUACCGCAUACGUCUGUAAAGGGAAAGCGGGGCGUCGUAAGACCUCGCGCUAUUGGAUGAGCCAAAGUACGGAUUAGCUAGUUGGNGGGGUAAGUGGCCUACCAAGCGACAAUCCGUAGCUGGUCUGAGAGGACGACCAGCCACACCGGAACUGAGACACGGUCCGGACUCCUACGGGAGGCAGCAGUGGGGAAGUAUUGGACAAUGGGGGAAACCCGUCGAUCCAGCGACGCCGCGUGUGUGAAGAAGGCCUGCGGGUUGUAAAGCACUUUUAGUGGGGACAAAAGCUACGGAUUAAUACUCUGUGGUCUUGAUUUAACCCUAAAGAAAAGACNCCGGCUAACUCUGUGCCAGCAGCCGCGGUAAU